UUAAGUUCUUGAGAACACAGGCUAAGGGAGAAGAAGGGGGAAUGGAGGGCGGAAGGUUGCCCAUAGUGAACGAGCAAGGCAAUGUACUUCUACAGAAGGAUGUGCCCUUACAGAUGGAGCAAUGUUGAAGAGAAUAUUGGAGCUAAAGAAACAGAGUCAACAAGGAGCUUGGCAAUGAAGAGAAGGAGCCAACUGUGCAGGAUGAAACUCUUCCUCUCUGAAGUUACCGUAUCUGAAGCUCCUCCAGAAAGAACCCAGUGGUCUUUGAUCACCUCCCUGAGAUUUUCUUAACCGGAGAAGAUUAAACUCAUGGCAGAAAGUAAGACUGAGGGAUGUCACCACACCUAGGCAGACUUUGUCAGAAGCUGUUGUCUAUUCUUUGAUCAUAUUCCAAAGAGUUUCCAAAGAGUAUAAUUUACAAACUAUGGUCUCUUCUUUGGGCUCAUUCAACUCUCCUAAAAAUAAUUUCCUACUUCUCAAAAUUGCCUACAUUCCCCCAUCUCUCUCUCUCCUGUGAAGAAGGGUAUAUAAGAUUCUGAACCUCACUGGGUUACUGGGUAGUCACUCUCUCGU